rnacentral:rRNA from 1 species
GGGGGGGGGGGGGGGGGGGGGGGGGGGGGGGGGUGGGAGGGGAAGGCCCCGUUGGGGGUAGUCGGGUGGCGAACGGGUGAGGAACGCGUGAGUAACCUGCGCUUGACUUCGGGGUAACGUCAGGGAACUGGGGCGAAUACCGGAUAGGAAUCCUUGCUGCAUGGGGGGGGUUGGAAAGCUUCGGCGGUUUUGGAUGGACUCGCGGCGUAUCAGCUUGUUGGUGGGGUAGUGGCUUACCAAGGCUUUGACGGGUAGCCGGCCUGAGAGGGCGACCGGCCACAUUGGGACUGAGAUACGGCCCAGACUCCUACGGGAGGCAGCAGUGGGGAAUAUUGCACAAUGGGCGGAAGCCUGAUGCAGCAACGCCGCGUGCGGGAUGACGGCCUUCGGGUUGUAAACCGCUUUCAGCAGGGGCGAAGCUUGUGGUGACGGUACCUGCAGAAGAAGCACCGGCUAACUACGUG